rnacentral:tRNA from 2 species
CAGUGGGUAGUUUAAUUUAGAAUAUUAAUUUUGGAGAUUAAAGGUGGAUUUUUCUUUCACUGA